rnacentral:lncRNA from 1 species
GGUUAAGUCCUGCUUUUGGUGUUGCUCUGCAGAUCCUUGCUGACGAUGGUGGUCGCUGGAGGCAUCAGUAUUGAAGAUUAUCUCAUUUACAGACAAGAUCUUUGAAAUCCUGUCCCUUCAGGCAGCAAAGGAAGAAGAGGCUUUAUCGCAACAAAACAGGCAAAGAAACACAAACACUUGAAGAAACAGCACUUCUCCAAUUCUUCCCAAAAGUCCAGAGCCCCACCAGAUCCUGGUGGAUUCCAGCCACCAGUCUUCCUGCUUGGAGAUGUAACACAGGGAGCAGGAAUUCCUCAGAUGAGGGGUGGGGGAAGCCCAGGAGCCACCUCGAUGGACAUAGGCCACUGUCGAGAGCACAACAGGAGACUGUCUAAAGCCAAGCUCAAAGUGCACCAAGAGUUUUAAGGAGCCUAAAGAUCCCCAAGAUAACCCCAAGCAAGACCAUGAGAAGCAAUGUAGGGACCAGAAAAUUCUCACUAGCUGUGUCAGGCCUGAAUUUCCAGAGCCAUUUUUGGGGCCUACUCAGAGAAUAAAGGACCAGUGGAGCUGUAAUCA